rnacentral:lncRNA from 1 species
GACUUGGUCGAUAUGUCGCGAACGCGACGUUAGUCGCAUUGGCAUUUUGCUUUUCUUGGCCGGAGCCAAGUCGGUAAGUUAGCCAGUCGUCUUGCUCGAGAGUUGACUAUGGAAGGAGCGUGGCUUCAACUUAAGGGGGUUUCAUCGCCAUCGCCGGCCUUCCACCAGCAUAGAUAAGUCGGUCCUCAUAAGAGUCCGACAUGUCGUCGCAGAUUCCUGACAGAAUGUCGGG